GGAGCCGUGUGUCAUGGCCUCCUCCAUGUAAACAAAGCGGAGAAAAAUAUUGUGAAGAAAAUUGAGAACAGAGGAGCGUCUGAUGCCGGGCGCCGGGAGCCAGUGCUGCUUCAGACGUCGCCGGGGCAGGUGUCGGGCGUCCUCAGCUGACAUACUCUGUUCCUACAAUGUACAAUCGGACCAUGCUAGGUAUAAGAGGGAGAUUUCCAAGAAUUCUCCCUAAUAUAGGGAAAUACGGCCUCUCUGAGGAGGCCAUUGAAAGAUUUACGUAUAACACCUCUGAAAAGCAACCAUCAAAGAAAUUGUGGCAAACAUACUAAAUAUUAACCAAGAACAGCGGAGGUCUUUGACCAUCGUCAGAUAUUAAAACCAAUCAUUACCUUGAAGAACAUUAAAAAUCUGAACAUCUCAAAUUACGCCAUAAGAUCGUACCAUGAUGGGUCUUCGGGAGCGAAUCAGGCGGCGAAUCCUCCCGAACCUUUUUAAAUAUGGCCUCUCUGAGGCCAUUGAAAUAUUUACGUAAAACACCUCUGCAUAAAUGAUGGAUCCAGUUACUGUUGUGUUAAAGGCCAGUUUGGUGCAUCAGUGGUCGUCAGCACCUCCGUAUUUAUUGAGAGCAGCAGCAUGGAAGCACAGCACAGGGCAGUGUAGAGGCCAGCAAGAACUUAAAAAAUUUUGGAUUGGCAGCUUUAGAAAACUGUUGCACUGGGUAUUCUUUCCAAAUGUCAAAAAAGAACCCAAUGAGGCCAUGAAUGUUAACACUAAACGCACGUUACCAAAUUUAUUCGAAAAGGAAAUGGCGUAAGACUUAUCAUUCAAAAAGGAAAUUGUGCAAGAGCUAUCAAUCCAGCAGGUAAUACAGCAUAUUUCGUCCGGACGUAACCAUGGGGAUGACUCGGCCAAUUCCCACCAAAACCCCAGUCAGGGUAGUGGUGGCCGAAGGGAAGUCGAGGCUGUUGGACGAGGGGCGUUGGUCGUUAUGGAAGGUAGCGACAGAACGGGCAAGUCGACACAGGCCAAGAUUCUCGUCGAGUCUCUAAACAAGCUUGGAAAACCGACAGUCUUCAUGCGGGUCCCAGAUCUGCCUGGGAAGAAGUGGCAGUCCCUAAAAGAGCAUUACGUAAAGCACAUUGUUCGAAAGAUUGGUGCAUACGAGAAAGAUAAAACUAUAAAAUCAAGCAUGUUGUUUGUGUAAGUACAGAACAGUACAUUGUGUUAACAGUACUGUACGUGGGGAGGCAAAAUGGGGGAGACAGUUUUCACAAUGAUUGCUAACUGUUCAUCAGUGAAGUAGACCUAUGGCUUUGAACUUAAAUCUAUAAGCUUCAUUGGUAUGUGUACCUUGGAUACCUUUUUGUCAGGCUACAGACAUUUACCAAUAGUUGCUGGGAGUGUAAACAUACAACCACAAAUUAAGAAAUUCUUAUUUGUUCCUGCUCAAACAAAUUGUUUUAAGACAGUCUUUUAUCUUAAAAAUUUAAAAAAAUCCUCAUAUCAGUUGUCCUGGAUUUUAUGCCUUCCCUUUUCGUGAAGGUUUCACACUAGUACACGUUGACCAACGUCCAAUGCUUUCCUCGAGCUUUCUUAUCAUACAGAAGCUUCCUACUCACCCUUAUUCUCCAAAUUAUCGUUUGCAACUCUCCAGGCAUUCUCUAAUACGUCUGUGUAGGGUCACCCAAUCGUCACACGAGUCCUCCUCUGCUUGUGCUAACAACAUAUCUAUUAUAAGCUUGGGAUCAGUACCGAAGAUCGAAGUGUGAGGGGAGAACCCAGUGGUCGGGUUAGGAGUCUUAUUAUAGAUGGCGGUUACCAUUCCAAAAUGCUUGCCCAAUGUUUCUUUUGCUUGAUUGACAAAGUUCGCAACAAUUGGUGCAUUGUGCGGUGAAACCUCUCGCACUGUCCAUUUCCACAGCACCUCUGCAUAAUGAAUCUAGUGGUGCAUUCGAUGCCCUGAUGACCCCAUGUCGUCAUGCAAAAGUUUCAUUACCUUCCCCUUCAAGGUAGUAGGCAAAACUAGUUGUUUUAGCUCCUUCUGGGCUCUACACGGCAUUGCUCUUUUAGUUGAUACAGUAUGUAACAGCACCUUUGCUUUAUAUAAAUAUUCACCCAAAUUAAUAGCACCAAGUUAUUCAACGACCACACACUUCUCUGGGGUUGGUGACCCCCUUCCUUUCUCUUUUGCCUAAUGGCGUAGUUUGUGAUCUUCAGUUGGUGAUCUGAAAAUAAAAAAACAUUAUUAACAACCAUGAAUGAAAGCAA
rnacentral:lncRNA from 1 species